rnacentral:misc_RNA from 1 species
GAUGAAGAACGCAGCGAGAUGCGAUAAGUAAUGUGAAUUGCAGAAUUCAGUGAAUCAUCGAAUCUUUGAACGCACAUUGCGCCCGCCAGUAUUCUGGCGGGCAUGCCUGUUCGAGCGUCAUUUCAACCCUCAAGCCCAGCUUGGUGUUGGGGAUCGGCACAGGCGCCCUCGGGCGCCCGCCGUCCCCUAAAUCUAGUGGCGGUCCCGCUGCAGCCUCCUCUGCGUAGUAGUUUUCUCCUCGCAAGGGCAGCUCGGUGGCGACCUCGCCGUAAAACCCCCAACUUCUGAAAGGUUGACCUCGAAUCAGGUAGGAAUACCCGCUGAACUUAAGCAUAUCAAUAAGCGGAGGA